rnacentral:SRP_RNA from 1 species
GCUGGGUGCAGUGGCACGUGCCUGUAGUCCCAGCUACUCGGGAGGCUGAGGUGGGAGAUCUCUUGAGCCCAGUUCUGGGCUAUAGUGCGCUAUGCCAAUCGGGUGUCUGCACUAGGUUCGGCCUCAAUAUGGUGACCUCCCAGGAGCAGGGGAUCACCAGGUUGCCUAAGGAGGGGUGAACCGGCCCAGGUCAGAAACUGAGCAGGUCAAAACUCCCAUGCUGAUCAGUAGUGGGAUCGUGCCUGUGAAUAGCCACUGUACUCCAGCCUGGGCAACAUAGUGAGACCCCGUCUCU